rnacentral:rRNA from 1 species
UACGUAGGGUGCAAGCGUUGUCCGGAAUUAUUGGGCGUAAAGGGUGCGUAGGCGGCGGGGUAAGUCAGGUGUGAAAUCUCGGGGCUCAACUCCGAAACUGCAUUUGAUACUGCCUUGCUAGAGUACUGGAGAGGAGAUUGGAAUUUACGGUGUAGCAGUGAAAUGCGUAGAUAUCGUAAGGAAGACCAGUGGCGAAGGCGAAUCUCUGGACAGUUACUGACGCUGAGGCGCGAAGGCCAGGGGAGCAAACGGG